rnacentral:lncRNA from 1 species
CUUACCCAAUCCAUGCAAUUCUUCCUAGCUAGGCUUCUGAUUGCUUUAUUUGGAACAGGUGGGCCUGGGUUAGGGCUUGCCAAGGCUCUCACACUGAAUCUGUCCUAGGCCUCCAUGGCCAGCAAGAGAAAAGCAGUGUGGGAAGUAGAUGAAGUCUGAGCCUAAGUUUUCCACAGGCCCUGUGCUCUGGCAGCAUCCCCCAGCACGAGGACCUCCCUGGGGAACUGGUGGUACGAGAACUCUUCUCCAGUGUCCUUCAGGAGGUCUGUGAUGAGGUGAACCUGCCACUGCACACCUUGAGCCAGCCACUGUUGUUGGGCAUCGCUUGCAAUGAGACCAGCGCGGGCAGAGCCAGUGCAGAGUUCUAUGUCCAGUGUAGCCUGACUUCAGAGGAGGUCAGGAAUUAUUAUCUGAGUGGAGGACCUGAGGCCAACGAGUCUACAGGAAUCAUCUUUGUGGAGACACAGAGGGUACAGAGACUGCAGGAGACGGAGAUGUGGGCACAACUCUGCCCCUCGGCCAAAGGCGCCAUCCUCCUCUACAAUCGCCAUCCUCCUCUACAGUCAGGUGCUGGGAAAUCCCACCUGAGUCAUCCUAGCGUCCCAGCCCUGUCGCUACAGCUCUGAAGACAAUAAAAGACUUUAUUCUUGUA